AGCUGAGUUUGAGAGAAAAUAUAAGCAGCUUGAACUGAUUGGCAGAGGGGGCUUCGGAUCCGUCUACGCUGGCCUUCGCCUGGAGGAUUCAUUACCGGUGGCCAUCAAGUACGUCGACAUGAAGAUAGGUCAAAUCAGACAGAGUGAAGUGGACGGUGUUCCCCUGGAGGUGGCCCUCAUGCAGAAGGCCGGAGGUGAGCCAAAUGCAGUGGGGGUGUUUGCUGCCGUCACCCUCCUGGAGUGGUUCCACGUGGAUCAGGACCUGGUCAUUGUGAUGGAAAGGCCACCAGCAUCCAUGGAUCUUGUGGAAUACGUGAACUGGAGUGGAGGUCGC